UAGGGAAUCUUCGGCAAUGGGGGGAACCCUGACCGAGCAACGCCGCGUGAGUGAAGAAGGUUUUCGGAUCGUAAAGCUCUGUUGUUAAGGAAGAACGAGUGUGAGAAUGGAAAGUUCAUGCUGUGACGGUACUUAACCAGAAAGGGACGGUUAACUACGUGCCAGCAGCCGCGGUAAUACGUAGGUCCCGAGCGUUGUCCGGAUUUAUUGGGCGUAAAGCGAGCGCAGGCGGUUAGAAAAGUCUGAAGUGAAAGGCAGUGGCUCAACCAUUGUAGGCUUUGGAAACUGUUUAACUUGAGUGCAGAAGGGGAGAGUGGAAUUCCAUGUGUAGCGGUGAAAUGCGUAGAUAUAUGGAGGAACACCGGUGGCGAAAGCGGCUCUCUGGUCUGUAACUGACGCUGAGGCUCGAAAGCGUGGGGAGCGAACAGG
rnacentral:rRNA from 1 species